rnacentral:lncRNA from 1 species
CGCCCGGUGUUAGGAGCCGCCGGCCGGGCCAGGCCGAACCAAGCGCCCGCAGCCCUGCAGCCCGCUGCCCGCCCCACGUCCCGCCGGCGCCGGGGCGGCCGCGUUCCCCGCCCUCCCCCACUCCACCCCUGGCUACCCGCUCCCGCCCGAGAGGAGGAGCUGAGGCGAGGGGGAGGAGGAGGAGGGAGAGGUUUGCGAGAGGGAGCGAGGCCGCGUUAGCCGCCGGCGGUUCGUAUUACCGGGGUCGGGAGGAGGAGCCGGGCCGAGCCUGCGGACGAACGCCGGGCGGGCGGGAGGCGCGGAGGCAGCGGAGGCUGCUCGGCCGCAAGGAGGCAGGCGGGAGGCCAGGGGUGCAGAAUUGGGGCGGGGGCUCCCUUCACCCCCGCAGCCCUCCGCCCGGGUCCGUGUGGCCAGGCCUCACGUGCCCCGCAGGCCUGGGGAAGGUGGAGACAGGGGCGGGGGUCCGCGCAGAGGCCUGCACGGCGCGGCCAGGUGAUGGUGGGCCUCUGUGUUUCUCCAGACGAAAGGGGACCCCCGGAGCGGCCGUGCCCCUGGGCUGCCCCCGCGAGGCGUUUUGACAUCAGCCAUAGGGAAGUCGGGGAGCCCUGAGCCUGCCUGUUUCCGUUAAGUGUCCUUAGGAUGCAGUGAUUAAGGAAUUAGGCUCUCCCUCCGGGAGGGGCACUGCCUGUGCUAGGGAACUCGGGGGCAGAGAAACAGGACAGGAUGAUGCUGUCCGAGCAAGCCCAAAAGUGGUUUCCAACCCACGUGCAGGUCACAGUGCUCCAAGCCAAAGAUCUGAAGCCAAAAGGCAAAAGUGGUACCAAUGACACAUACACUAUAAUUCAGCUGGGCAAGGAAAAGUACUCCACCUCUGUAGCUGAGAAAACCCUUGAGCCAGUUUGGAAGGAGGAGGCCUCUUUCGAGCUACCUGGAUUGCUAAUUCAGGGAAGUCCAGAGAAAUACAUUCUUUUCCUUAUAGUUAUGCACAGGUCCCUGGUGGGUCUGGAUAAAUUUUUAGGGCAGGUGGCAAUCAAUCUCAAUGACAUCUUUGAGGACAAACAAAGAAGGAAAACAGAGUGGUUUAGAUUAGAAUCCAAACAAGGAAAACGAAUCAAAAACAGGGGUGAGAUAAAGGUCAAUAUUCAGUUUAUGAGGAACAAUAUGACCGCAAGUAUGUUUGACUUAUCAAUGAAGGACAAAACCAGAUCUCCUUUUGCAAAGUUAAAAGAUAAGAUGAAGGGUAGAAAAAAUGAUGGAACAUUUUCUGAUACGUCUUCUGCAAUCAUUCCAAGUACUCACAUGCCCGAUGCCAAUAGUGAAUUUUCAAGUGGUGAAAUACAG